GGAGGAGCGUUUUCAGGAAUCCUUGGCACCGUCCCAAGUUCCGUGGAACCGGACGUCACAGAGGGUGAGAAUCCCGUGCAUGGGCGGUAGCUAGUUUUCCGUGUGAUGCGCUUCCGACGAGUCGAGUUGUUUGGGAAUGCAGCUCAAAAUGGGUGGUAAAUUUCAUCUAAAGCUAAAUACUGGCGAGAGACCGAUAGCGCACAAGUAGAGUGAUCGAAAGAUGAAAAGCACUUUGAAAAGAGAGUUAAAAAGUACGUGAAAUUGUUGAAAGGGAAGCGCUUGAGAUCAAACUCGGUCUUUGGUGAAGCCGCGAGCCUUUGUUGCUUGUGACCUCUUGCCAUGGACUGGGCCAGCAUCGGUUCCGACGGUGGGAAAAAUGGCUUUGGAAUGUGGCUCGUUCUUAGAAGGAGUGUUUAUAGACUCAGCCAAAUACCGCCAGACGGGACCGAGGACCGCGCUUCGGCUAGGAUGCUGGCGUAAUGGUCUUAAGCGACCCGUCUUGAAACACGGACCAAGGAGUCUAACAUCUAUGCGAGUGUUCGGGUGGAAAACCCUUGCGCGUAAUGAAAGUGAACGGAGGUGGGAACCGAAAGGGGCACCAUCGACCGAUCCUGAUGUCAUCGGA
rnacentral:rRNA from 1 species